GAGACCAGACAUUAUCAAAAAGGGAUGAUUAGACAACUGAGAUCUACACAGAGGAUUAUUGUUCCACUUUCAAAAGAACACUAACAAAUGGAAUUAUUUAAAAGAAAAAAAAACGCAAAAAAAUACCAUUAAGAUUAUUUUAUAACAUUAAUUUAAAGAUGCGGUUUGUCAGUGGAGACUCUACAGACUCUGCAGACACUGUGACAGUGAGGACACAGAAGAUCACAUGUGGAUCACAUGUGACAGAUGCAACUGGUGGUACCACCAAGGCUGCAUUAAGGUCCCACAAACCGACACAGACUGCUGCUGUGCAAUGUGUUUAUAGAUUUUAUGUUUGUACCAAUCUAAUUCGUUAAUGACUGCAGUUCAGUGGAUUUUCAGUUUAAACAUGUGACAUAAUUUUUGUUGACUUAAUUGGUUUUCCAAAGAUUUUUGUUAUGAAUAUUCUUUUGUUGAAAUUAAUGAAAAAAAAAGUGAUUUAAUUUUUAUGUUAAACCAAAAUAAAAAUGGUUUGUGCAUGCUUUACAUUUAGCAAAGAUGCAUUGUCAGAUUUAUUUCCUUCAGUAUCCUUGCAAUAGCGAUAAUAAAGAAAUAACAUUUUCUACAUAA